rnacentral:rRNA from 1 species
CAGGCCUAACACAUGCAAGUCGAGCGGUAACAGGGAUAGCUUGCUAUCUGCUGACGAGCGGCGGACGGGUGCGUAACGCGCAGGAAUUUGCCCGAUAGUGGGGGAUAGCCCGGAGAAAUUCGGAUUAAUACCGCAUACCUUCUAAGGAAGAAAGCAGGGGAUCUUCGGACCUUGCGCUAUCGGAUGAGCCUGCGUCGGAUUAGCUAGUUGGUAGGGUAAAUGCCUACCAAGGCGACGAUCCGUAGCUGGUCUGAGAGGAUGAUCAGCCACACUGGGACUGAGACACGGCCCAGACUCCUACGGGAGGCAGCAGUGGGGAAUAUUGCACAAUGGGCGCAAGCCUGAUGCAGCCAUGCCGCGUGUGUGAAGAAGGCCCUAGGGUUGUAAAGCACUUUCAGCGAAGAGGAAGGGUAUCUUGCUAAUAUCAAGGUACAUUGACGUUACUCGCAGAAGAAGCACCGGCUAACUCCGUGCCAGCAGCCGCGGUAACACGGAGGGUGCAAGCGUUAAUCGGAAUUACUGGGCGUAGAGCGUGCGUAGGCGGUUAAAUAAGUUGGAUGUGAAAGCCCUGGGCUCAACCUAGGAACUGCACCCAAAACUGUUUAACUAGAGUACGAGAGAGGAGUGUGGAAUUUCCUGUGUAGCGGUGGAAUGCGUAGAUAUAGGAAGGAACACCAGUGGCGAAGGCGGCACUCUGGCUCGAUACUGACGCUGAGGUACGAAAGCAUGGGUAGCAAACAGGAUUAGAUA